rnacentral:rRNA from 1 species
GAUGAACGCUGGCGGCGUGCCUAAUACAUGCAAGUCGAGCGAACAGACGAGAGUGCUUGCACUCUCUGACGUUAGCGGCGGACGGGUGAGUAACACGUGGGUAACCUACCUAUAAGACUGGGAUAACUUCGGGAAACCGGAGCUAAUACCGGAUAAUAUUUAGCUUCGCAUGAAGCAAUAGUGAAAGACGGUUCUGCUGUCACUUAUAGAUGGACCCGCGGUGUAUUAGCUAGUUGGUGAGGUAACGGCUCACCAAGGCAACGAUACGUAGCCGACCUGAGAGGGUGAUCGGCCACACUGGGACUGAGACACGGCCCAGACUCCUACGGGAGGCAGCAGUAGGGAAUCUUCCGCAAUGGACGAAAGUCUGACGGAGCAAUGCCGCGUGAGUGAAGAAGGUUUUCGGAUCGUAAAACUCUGUUGUAAGGGAAGAACAAGUACGUUAGUAACUGAACGUACCUUGACGGUACCUUACCAGAAAGCCACGGCUAACUACGU